rnacentral:rRNA from 1 species
CCUACGGGAGGCAGCAGUGGGGAAUUUUGGACAAUGGGCGCAAGCCUGAUCCAGCAAUGCCGCGUGAGUGAAGAAGGCCUUCGGGUUGUAAAGCUCUUUUGUCAGGGAAGAAACGGUGGAGGCUAAUAUCCUUUGCUAAUGACGGUACCUGAAGAGUAAGCACCGGCUAACUACGUGCCAGCAGCCGCGGUAAUACGUAGGGUGCAAGCGUUAAUCGGAAUUACUGGGCGUAAAGCGUGCGCAGGCGGUUUUGUAAGUUUGUCGUGAAAUCCCCGGGCUCAACCUGGGAAUGGCGAUGAAGACUGCAAGGCUAGAAUCUGGCAGAGGGGGGUAGAAUUCCACGUGUAGCAGUGAAAUGCGUAGAGAUGUGGAGGAACACCGAUGGCGAAGGCAGCCCCCUGGGUCAAGAUUGACGCUCAUGCACGAAAGCGUGGGGAGCAAACAGGAUUAGAUACCCUGGUAGUCCACGCCCUAAACGAUGUCUACUAGUUGUCGGGUUUUAAUUAACUUGGUAACGCAGCUAACGCGUGAAGUAGACCGCCUGGGGAGUACGGUCGCAAGNUUAAAACUUCAAAGGAAUUGACGGCNGNGAGNGCGAGGCGACGACGAGGAGAGG